rnacentral:rRNA from 1 species
GACGGAGGAUGCAAGCGUUAUCCGGAAUCACUGGGCGUAAAGCGUCUGUAGGUGGUUUAAUAAGUCAACUGUUAAAUCUUGAGGCUCAACCUCAAAAUCGCAGUCGAAACUAUUAGGCUAGAGUAUAGUAGGGGUAAAGGGAAUUUCCAGUGGAGCGGUGAAAUGCGUAGAGAUUGGAAAGAACACCGAUGGCGAAGGCACUUUACUGGGCCAUUACUGACACUGAGAGAACGAAAGCUAGGGGAGCAAAUGGG